rnacentral:sRNA from 1 species
UGGUCCCUCAUUCUAGGAGGCGUUGAAAAUGAUGUUGCUGAGGAGGAAAAGCCGAAAAGUGACGAGGGUCCGGAUGUUAAAACCAUUGCAGGACAUGCAGUGAUCACAGGAGUAGCUUUGGGCUUGGCAACCAUGUUGUAGUCAU